rnacentral:misc_RNA from 1 species
UUAAGUUCAGCGGGUAGUCCUGCUCAAUUUGAGGUCAGGUUGUCAGAGCUUGUCCACAGACAGUUUGAAGCACAAUUCCUGAUCAGAAAGCACCAGCAACGAUACUUAUCAUGCUGUACUAUUCUCCAACCCAUGAGCUGCACGAACCAAUUUGAGAUGAGCCACAGCGAAGCAGCAACACCCAAGUCCACCUCUCUCCA